UGGGGAAUUUUGGACAAUGGGCGCAAGCCUGAUCCAGCUAUUCCGCGUGUGGGAUGAAGGCCCUCGGGUUGUAAACCACUUUUGUAGAGAACGAAAAGACAACCUUUUAAAAAAGGGUGUUGCUGACGGUACUCUAAGAAUAAGCACCGGCUAACUACGUGCC
rnacentral:rRNA from 1 species